GGGGGCGAUCUGGCUUCGACGUGGAUAUUGAAGCUUUGAGCGCAUGUCGAGGAGGUUACAAACCUCGUUAAAAAUGUGACAAAACUUAUAGUUGCCAAAACAAAACGCAACUCCGUUAAUGAUGCAAUGUUCUGCAGAAAUGCUGAAGUCGCAUUAGCCGCCUAAGAAACGGCAUAACGCCAUCCACUGACUGUGCUUGUACGGUCAGCUGUUUACGCAAGUAAACGGGAUGGUCAUAUCUUACAAGCUCGCAAUCAGGUCUACCUGGAGUCUGAUUGCUAAACUAAAUCUAGGCUCGCUAUCGAGUUGCCAUGCCAAUCUGACAACCGGUAGUUAAACUAACUGAUUGGACAAACAUGUAGACCUAAAAGUCGAGAGUUUGCGGACGCGGGUUCAAUUCCCGCCGCCUCCACCA
rnacentral:tmRNA from 1 species